UUAAGUUAGAAAGGGCGCACGGUGGAUGCCUUGACACUAGGAGUCGAUGAAGGACGGGACUAACGCCGAUAUGCUUCGGGGAGCUGUAAGUAAGCUUUGAUCCGAAGAUUUCCGAAUGGGGAAACCCACCAUACGUAAUGGUAUGGUAUCCUUAUCUGAAUACAUAGGGUAAGGAAGACAGACCCAGGGAACUGAAACAUCUAAGUACCUGGAGGAAGAGAAAGCAAAUGCGAUUUCCUGAGUAGCGGCGAGCGAAACGGAACAUAGCCCAAACCAAGAGGCUUGCCUCUUGGGGUUGUAGGACAUUCUAUACGGAGUUACAAAGGAACGAGGUAGACGAAGCGACCUGGAAAGGUCCGUCGUAGAGGGUAACAACCCCGUAGUCGAAACUUCGUUCUCUCUUGAAUGUAUCCUGAGUACGGCGGAACACGUGAAAUUCCGUCGGAAUCUGGGAGGACCAUCUCCCAAGGCUAAAUACUCCCUAGUGAUCGAUAGUGAACCAGUACCGUGAGGGAAAGGUGAAAAGCACCCCGGAAGGGGAGUGAAAGAGAUCCUGAAACCGUGUGCCUACAAAUAGUCAGAGCCCGUUAACGGGUGAUGGCGUGCCUUUUGUAGAAUGAACCGGCGAGUUACGAUCCCGUGCGAGGUUAAGCUGAAGAGGCGGAGCCGCAGCGAAAGCGAGUCUGAAUAGGGCGUUUAGUACGUGGUCGUAGACCCGAAACCAGGUGAUCUACCCAUGUCCAGGGUGAAGUUCAGGUAACACUGAAUGGAGGCCCGAACCCACGCACGUUGAAAAGUGCGGGGAUGAGGUGUGGGUAGCGGAGAAAUUCCAAUCGAACCUGGAGAUAGCUGGUUCUCCCCGAAAUAGCUUUAGGGCUAGCCUUAAGUGUAAGAGUCUUGGAGGUAGAGCACUGAUUGGACUAGGGGUCCUCAUCGGAUUACCGAAUUCAGUCAAACUCCGAAUGCCAAUGACUUAUCCUUAGGAGUCAGACUGCGAGUGAUAAGAUCCGUAGUCAAAAGGGAAACAGCCCAGACCGCCAGCUAAGGUCCCAAAGUGUGUAUUAAGUGGAAAAGGAUGUGGAGUUGCUUAGACAACUAGGAUGUUGGCUUAGAAGCAGCCACCAUUUAAAGAGUGCGUAAUAGCUCACUAGUCGAGUGACUCUGCGCCGAAAAUGUACCGGGGCUAAAUACACCACCGAAGCUGCGGAUUGAUACCGAAUGGUAUCAGUGGUAGGGGAGCGUUCUAAGGACAGUGAAGUCAGACCGUAAGGACUGGUGGAGUGCUUAGAAGUGAGAAUGCCGGUAUGAGUAGCGAAAGACGGGUGAGAAUCCCGUCCACCGAAUGCCUAAGGUUUCCUGAGGAAGGCUCGUCCGCUCAGGGUUAGUCAGGACCUAAGCCGAGGCCGACAGGCGUAGGCGAUGGACAACAGGUUGAUAUUCCUGUACCACCUCUUUAUCGUUUGAGCAAUGGAGGGACGCAGAAGGAUAGAAGAAGCGUGCGAUUGGUUGUGCACGUCCAAGCAGUUAGGCUGAUAAGUAGGCAAAUCCGCUUAUCAUAAAGGCUGAGCUGUGAUGGGGAAGCUCCUUAUGGAGCGAAGUCUUUGAUUCCCCGCUGCCAAGAAAAGCUUCUAGCGAGAUAAAAGGUGCCUGUACCGCAAACCGACACAGGUAGGCGAGGAGAGAAUCCUAAGGUGUGCGAGAGAACUCUGGUUAAGGAACUCGGCAAAAUGACCCCGUAACUUCGGGAGAAGGGGUGCUUUCUUAACGGAAAGCCGCAGUGAAUAGGCCCAAGCGACUGUUUAGCAAAAACACAGCUCUCUGCGAAGCCGUAAGGCGAAGUAUAGGGGGUGACACCUGCCCGGUGCUGGAAGGUUAAGGAGAGGGGUUAGCGUAAGCGAAGCUCUGAACUGAAGCCCCAGUAAACGGCGGCCGUAACUAUAACGGUCCUAAGGUAGCGAAAUUCCUUGUCGGGUAAGUUCCGACCCGCACGAAAGGUGUAACGAUUUGGGCACUGUCUCAACCAGAGACUCGGUGAAAUUAUAGUACCUGUGAAGAUGCAGGUUACCCGCGACAGGACGGAAAGACCCCGUGGAGCUUUACUGUAGCCUGAUAUUGAAUUUUGGUACAGUUUGUACAGGAUAGGCGGGAGCCAUUGAAACCGGAGCGCUAGCUUCGGUGGAGGCGCUGGUGGGAUACCGCCCUGACUGUAUUGAAAUUCUAACCUACGGGUCUUAUCGACCCGGGAGACAGUGUCAGGUGGGCAGUUUGACUGGGGCGGUCGCCUCCUAAAGUGUAACGGAGGCGCCCAAAGGUUCCCUCAGAAUGGUUGGAAAUCAUUCGUAGAGUGCAAAGGCAUAAGGGAGCUUGACUGCGAGACCUACAAGUCGAGCAGGGACGAAAGUCGGGCUUAGUGAUCCGGUGGUUCCGCAUGGAAGGGCCAUCGCUCAACGGAUAAAAGCUACCCCGGGGAUAACAGGCUUAUCUCCCCCAAGAGUCCACAUCGACGGGGAGGUUUGGCACCUCGAUGUCGGCUCAUCGCAUCCUGGGGCUGUAGUCGGUCCCAAGGGUUGGGCUGUUCGCCCAUUAAAGCGGUACGCGAGCUGGGUUCAGAACGUCGUGAGACAGUUCGGUCCCUAUCCGUCGUGGGCGUAGGAAAUUUGAGAGGAGCUGUCCUUAGUACGAGAGGACCGGGAUGGACGCACCGCUGGUGUACCAGUUGUUCUGCCAAGGGCAUAGCUGGGUAGCUAUGUGCGGAAGGGAUAAGUGCUGAAAGCAUCUAAGCAUGAAGCCCCCCUCAAGAUGAGAUUUCCCAUAGCGUAAGCUAGUAAGAUUCCUGAAAGAUGAUCAGGUUGAUAGGUUCGAGGUGGAAGCAUGGUGACAUGUGGAGCUGACGAAUACUAAUAGAUCGAGGACUUAACCAU
rnacentral:rRNA from 1 species